CCCUCCCACCAAAACUUUAGGCUUUCUGCCUUUAGUACAAAGAAUUGUUGUUGCUAUUAUUAUUAUUAUUAUUAUUAUUAUUAUUA